GAGACACCAUAAUUUGGGAAAUGUGAAUCUUGUACCCGUCUGUUCAGGACUCCUGAAGAUAAAGAUGAGCCUUCUGUUUGCAGUGAUCAUGGGGCCUUCAGAUGAAGCCAGCCUCAGGAUAAUAAACCAGGUGAUGGUUUCACCUUCAGGAAAUCAUUUCUCCUCCCAAGCCUGCUUCCUCAUUAAAAAACAAAACACA